UCUUCCUUCCUGUACACUAUCUUCCCUUCAUUCUUCCUUUGGUGUUUUUGAGUUCAAAGUGGAGUUUCAAGCUAGGAAAUUCAAGGGUUGAGUUGGUGGACUAGAUUCAGCCAUAGAAGGAGGUUCAAAGCAAGUUUUAAGGUGACCGUCAAGGAAUUUAAAGGUUGAUCGUUCUCAGGGGUCGUUCAUAUAAUAACUUUUACUUGAACCAGAGGUAAAGGGAAAGAGAAGUUUCACCAACCCUGAGUGGAGAGCUUGGGCGAUUUUGUGUACAUAUUGGGCCGCCUGACCACCACGGUCAGAGAGUUCUCAGAGGGACUAGGGGUUUAUCCUAUUUUUUGCCGCUUAGGCCGGCGGGGUUUGUAAAUUUGAAACAGUAGCAACCCUUUUGCAUUACGAACAACUUGUAAAUGUUUUUGAAAGGCUCAUGAGCAGUUUAUUUACUUAAUGAAAUGUAUUCUUUCUUUUAUU